rnacentral:rRNA from 1 species
UACGGAGGGUGCGAGCGUUGUCCGGAAUCACUGGGCGUAAAGGGCGCGUAGGCGGCCUCCGCAAGUCAGUUGUGAAAUCUCCGAGCUUAACUCGGAAAGGUCAACUGAUACUGCGGGGCUAGAGUGCGGAAGGGGCAACUGGAAUUCUUGGUGUAGCGGUGAAAUGCGUAGAUAUCAAGAGGAACACCUGCGGCGAAGGCGGGUUGCUGGGCCGACACUGACGCUGAGGCGCGAAAGCUAGGGGAGCGAACGGG